UCAAGAUGGCGGACAAAGAGAGUCGCGAAUGCCUACAUACGGCAGCGAAUGCGGGUCGUCAGGAGACAAUUCUGCCCAGAUUAUGCUCGGACCGAAGGAAGCACUACAGAACGCAAUUUCAAUUGAGAACUGCGGGCCAAGUUUGACUAGCUUCUGUUAUCAUUCUUUGGAAAGAGACCAUAGGAUCGAUACUCUCAACCUUGGAUGAAUGCAGGACCUGAAACAAAUCACAAACACUUAGAAGAUUAUUACAUUGCUUACAGAUGUCAAUAUUGUUACAAAUGUUUUUUUAGUUUUAAAAUACGAAUUUAAUUUGAAUGUAGUUACCACUUUAGUGUCACUAAAUAAGAGAGUGCCCUCAAGUGGGCUAUUGACUCUUAUAUGUUGCCAUGAUUUUUUUUCUAUUUUUCAUUACAUAUUCUUAACCAAAGUGAUAUGUUUCCUGUUCACAACCAAUAAAUGUUUUGCAUUAGUUUCACAGUUAGCAAUGUUCAACACUUGACAAUACAUUCUAAACUCUUUUAACUUUUCAGUCUUUGUUUUCAUAAUGAUUAUUUUGCAAAAAUAUUACUUUCUGAUACAUUCAAUCUUCAUGAGGAGGAAAAGAAUAAUCAUCUACUAGGAACAGCUGCAGUGUGUAUAGUUUUUAAAAAAUGC